rnacentral:rRNA from 1 species
UACGGAGGGUGCAAGCGUUAUCCGGAUUCACUGGGUUUAAAGGGUGCGUAGGCGGGUAUAUAAGUCAGUGGUGAAAGCUCCGGGCUUAACUUGGAAACUGCCAUUGAUACUGCAUAUCUUGAAUAUCGUAGAGGUUAGCGGAAUGUUGCAUGUAGCGGUGAAAUGCUUAGAUAUGUUACAGAACACCAAUUGCGAAGGCAGCUAACUAUGCGAAAAUUGACGCUGAGGCACGAAAGCGUGGGGAGCAAACAGG